GCUAUCACAGCGACCCAGGGGGGCUCCCCCGGCACCCCCCCUGGCUAUCACAGCAACCCAGGGGGGCUCCCCCUGCCCUCCCCCGGGCUUCAAAUGUGACUCUGGGGGGCUCCCCCUGAGCCCAUCUGAUACCUACAGCAUCUGGGGAGCUCCCCCUGCCUGGGCUGCCAGCACCCAGCAGCACCCCCGAUACCUACAGCACCUGGGGCCGGGGGGGCAAGUAACAUCCAGGCCAGAGCGCCUGCAUCCUGCUCCCCCAGGGGACGCGGUGGUGGGAGGAAGGAAGACCAGGCAGACUAGGAACGACGGCCUCAAGCUGCAGCAGAGAAGACUUCGGUUGGGGAUGAAGAGCAUGGAGACAGGCUGCCCACGGAGGUUGGGAAAUCUCCGUCCCUGGACAUUUUCAAGAGCAGCCGGGGACAGAAACUCACCUUCUUCCAGUGAUGAGAGCUGA
rnacentral:lncRNA from 1 species